CACGAAGCUGGUUGAGCUAACACGGUUUCUCCCGCAUGUGGCAUAAUGUGGCGAAAAGUUGUGUUAGGGGUGAAAGGCUUUCCAAAUAUAGCGAUAACUUGAUGUAAGCGAAACGGAUUGAGUACCAAGACAGUUACAGAGUUAUAAGAUUUUGUAAGGGAUUUAACGAUUAUGCGCAUGGGAUGUUGACUUAAAAAUCCGCAUAACAGAAGUUUAAAUAUUAAUUAGUGUACGUUUAUUUUCUUAGUUUACGGUAUCUAAACUUACUUGUCACUCAUAAUGUUAGUAUUAGUAUCUUUAAAUUAUGAAUAGUGAACUCGGCAACAAAGCUUUCAACUGUUUAUCAAAAACAUAGCCGCAUGUCGCUCAUGCGGUGGGUUCUGCUCAAUGAGACUUAAAUAGCCGCAGUACCCUGACUGUGCAAAGGUAGCGUAAUCAUUUGUCUUUUAAUUGAAGUCGUGUAUGAACGAAUGCAUGGGGGCUUGCUUUACCAUUUAUAUUAACAGAAAUUACUUUAAGAGGUGCAAAGACCUCUACAUUAACAAUAGACGAGAAGACCCUUGAAAUUUGUUUAAAAGUUUUGUUGGGGCAACAUAGUAACUAAACAUACACAAUGUACAUGUAAUUUAUUUGUUUGAUAAAAUUACUCUAGGGAUAACAGCAUAAUUCGUUAUAGAGUUUGUGACCUCGAUGUUGGAUUAGGGAACUAUAGCCUAAAA
rnacentral:rRNA from 1 species